CACGUAUUUAGCCGGUGCUUCUUAGUCAGGUACCGUCAUUUUCUUCCCUGCUGAUAGAGCUUUACAUACCGAAAUACUUCUUCGCUCACGCGGCGUCGCUGCAUCAGGGUUUCCCCCAUUGUGCAAUAUUCCCCACUGCUGCCUCCCGUAGGAGUUUGGGCCGUGUCUCAGUCCCAAUGUGGCCGGUCACCCUCUCAGGUCGGCUACUGAUCGUUGGCUUGGGUAGGCCGUUACCCCACCAACUACCUAAUCAGACGCGGGUCCAUCUCAUACCACCGGAGUUUUUCCACCGAGCCAUGCGGCUCUGUGGUCUUAUGCGGUAUUAGCAGUCAUUCUAACUGUUAUCCCCCUGUAUGAGGCAGGUUACCCACGCGUUACUCACCCGUCCGCCACUCAGUCACAAAACCUUCAUCCGAAGAAUCAGGUUAAAGUGACUUCGUUCGACUUGCAUGUGUUAAGCACGCCGCCAGCGUUCAUCCUGAGCCAGGAUCAAACUCU
rnacentral:rRNA from 1 species